UAUUGUCUUCAGGGCAGGGUGUAAUUCCCGACCGGCGGUAAAAGUCCGCGACCUAACUUUUUUUAAGUUGGCUGAUUCGUUGCAAAUACGAAACCGAUAGUUAAAGUCUAGAUGGGAGAAGACAGAU
rnacentral:ncRNA from 2 species